ACGGGAUUUCAUGAGUAAAUCGUAAAAUUCCCUUCUGUUAAACCUAACUCGACAAUGAGAAUUUAAAAAGCGGAUCCAAAAAUUCCAGUCGAGAAUUUUUCUUACUUAAUUUGACUAAAUAUAUAAUUUCAAGAUACAAUUAAUAAAUUAAUACACAUAUUUGUUGUAUUUUUAAGCCAAUUUCAAUGAGAGAGAGAAAUGACCCUUAACCUCCUCAACCUGUGCACGCCACUGGACGCUAUAUACAGUUUUCAUAUAGAUGUUGAUAGUUCGAAAAGUAAAAUUGAAUAUCAAAAAAAAAAAAA